UACAGAGGGUGCAAGCGUUGUUCGGAAUUAUUGGGCGUAAAGCGCGUGUAGGCGGCUAAUUAAGUCGGGUGUGAAAGCCCUCAGCUCAACUGAGGAAGUGCGCCCGAAACUGAGUAGCUUGAGUCUCGGAGAGGAUGGCGGAAUUCCCGAAGUAGAGGUGAAAUUCGUAGAUAUCGGGAGGAACACCGGUGGCGAAGGCGGCCAUCUGGACGAGUACUGACGCUGAGACGCGAAAGCGUGGGUAGCAAACAG
rnacentral:rRNA from 1 species